CCCAGACUCCUACGGGAGGCAGCAGUGGGGGAUAUUGCACAAUGGGGGGAACCCUGAUGCAGCGACGCCGCGUGGGUGAAGGAGCGUUUCGGCGCGUAAAGCCCUCUCGGCAGGGAAGAAGGAGGACGGUACCUGACUAAGAAGCCCCGGCUAACUACGUGCCAGCAGCCGCGGUAAUACGUAGGGGGCAAGCGUUAUCCGGAUUUACUGGGUGUAAAGGGGGCGCAGACGGCAGCGCAAGCCAGGAGUGAAAGCCCGGGGCCCAACCCCGGGACUGCUCUUGGAACUGCGCGGCUGGAGUGCAGGAGGGGCAGGCGGAAUUCCUGGUGUGGCGGUGAAAUGCGUAGAUAUCAGGAGGAACACCGGUGGCGAGGGCGGCCUGCUGGACUGCGACUGACGUUGAGGCCCGAAAGCGUGGGGAGCAAACAGGAUUAGAUACCCUCGUAUUC
rnacentral:rRNA from 1 species